rnacentral:rRNA from 1 species
UACGUAGGGUGCAAGCGUUGUCCGGAAUUAUUGGGCGUAAAGAGCUUGUAGGCGGUCUGUCGCGUCUGCUGUGAAAAUCCGGGGCUCAACCCCGGACUUGCAGUGGGUACGGGCAGACUAGAGUGUGGUAGGGGAGACUGGAAUUCCUGGUGUAGCGGUGAAAUGCGCAGAUAUCAGGAGGAACACCGGUGGCGAAGGCGGGUCUCUGGGCCGAAACUGACGCUGAGGAGCGAAAGCGUGGGGAGCGAACAGG